rnacentral:antisense_RNA from 1 species
GUUCUCCUUCCUGUAUGAGUGUGGUUUGCUAUCAAGUGGUGGCAGCUCAGCCACAAUCGGGGGCGGUGGGAGGGACAGGCCCCCCGAAGAGGCAGAGGCCCUGCCUCGGCCGCCCUGAGCCUGGAGGGUGAUUGGCUAGAGCGGCUCUCGGCCGGGAGCGGAAUGAAUGGCGGGGACUGGGGCUUCUGGGUGGUGCGAGCAUCAUGUUGCCUUUUAAUAUGGAGUGUGUGCCAUAGCUCUCCAGGAGAACCCCUCUGUGUCACAGCGAACCUCAGUCACUGACACUCAAAAGAAGGAAUUCUUUCAACUCAAUAAUAAACGAAUAACCCUAUUUUAAAAUCAGCAAA